rnacentral:lncRNA from 1 species
AGGUUGGGUCAGACACAGGUCUCACUUUCACCAUAAAACUUCUCAAAGAACCUGUCCAUGCUUCCAAGCCAAUACCAAUUGGGCCUAAUCCCAUUUUAGUACCUCCACUCCAAUCUCCUUCAGAACCACAGUCCCCUACCUCUGCUAGUCAUGUUCCCACAUUGUUAGUUUCUUCUCCCCAGAACCUCGUCCUUACCCUAAUAAAUCAAACCUUUCUUACGCUUAAUGCUACUUCCCCCGAUCUUAUGGAUAAUUGCUGGCUAUGUUAUCACUCUCAGCCACCCUUUUAUGAGGGAAUUGCUAUUCCUGGCACGUUUUUUCCCACCAAUGAUUCUAGACAUUGCCGCUGGCAACCUGGAGAAUGGAAUGGUUUGUCCCUCUCCCAGGUCUCUGGAUUGGGCCUUUGUGUUACCCUUAUAACUCCCCCCUUACAGUAUGCCCACCUUUGUAAUCUCACCCUUGCCCCUGAUAAAAACAGUCAAUACCUGUUGCCCCCUAAUGAUGCCUGGUGGGUUUGCCUCGAUGGCCUUACUCCCUGCCUUUCAACUGAGGCCUUUUCCCCCAUGAAGUCAGAUUUUUGUAUUCUUGUACAAUUAGUUCCUCGAUUAAUUUAUUAUCGUUCAGAGGAAUUUUUUCAUCUCUGGGAUCAGUCUUCUGACCUAUCCCCCACCUUGGUCCGUCAGCGACGAGAACCUAUUUCUGCCAUCACCAAAUCAGUACUCCUUGGCCUUGGUGCCGUGGGAGCAGGAACAGGUAUCUCUUCACUCAUUCUCUCUAAAUCCAGGUACCAAGAACUCAGCGCUACCAUCGAUGCUGACGUCCAAAGACUCCAGCAAGGGGUUGACGACCUGUCUGACUCUCUGUCUUCCCUCGCAGAAGUGGUCCUUCAGAAUCGCAGAGGACUUGAUCUGCUCUUUUUACAAUAAGGAGGACUCUGUGCAGCACUCAAAGAAGAGUGUUGCUUCUAUGUAGACAAAACAGGCAUGGUAAAAGAGAGUAUGAAAAAGGUUAGAGAAGGCUUAAAAAAGAGAAAGAAAGAGAGAAAAAAAGAUGAAAGCUGGUAUCAGAACUGGUUUUCAACCUCCCCAUGGCUUACCACCUUACUGCCCUCCAUUUUAGGACCACUGGUAGGAUUAAUUUUGCUUAUUUCAUUAGGCCCUUGGGCUCUCAGUAGACUUAUAGGCUUUAUAAAGCGACAAAUAGAUGAUUUAAUGGCUAAACCUAUACAGAUUCAUUAUCAUAGGUUGGCUAUAGAGGAUCAACAAACACAAGACAAAAAUAUUAUCCCACCUCAGACACUUACCACUCCCAUCUCCACCCAACCUAAGAAAGGGCAUUUCUGCCCCAGGACCUAAUAAGGGGAGGUGUCCCAGGCCCUCCACCCUCUUGGUGACAAAGUUCCUUCUACCUUUGCUAAGGGAGGCGAGAUGAGACACUACAAGGGGAUGCCUUUAUACAAAGCUCCUGGGCCCCCUGAGAGACAAGCCUGGCUCUUUUGAUGCUCUUUAUAAGAUCCCUAAUUAAUACUUUGUCUGUGGUUACGGGGACCCGUGAUUUUCAACACGCUCAUGGCAUGUAAGCAACAACCCGAAACCACUCAAGCUAGGCAUAUGCAGGUCCAUUGUCAUCACCAUGAGAUGAAUGAUCGAGGUAUGUGCCUUGCUAUCAACCACCUCCCCCUGUGAGCUGAACUGGACAGUCAAUGACGGGUAAGAGAGCAACAUUCUCUGACCAUUUGAGGCCUAAGACAGGAGGGCCGCCAUAAGCUGCUGCCUUAUCCAAUGACGGGCCUAGAGACCUAAGAAUGGUUUUCUCCAACCUAAGACAGGUGCAGUUCCCGAGGGGCUC